rnacentral:tRNA from 1 species
AAAAUUUUAGUUUAAAAAAAAAAUAUUUCAUUUACAAUGAAAAGUUUAAUAAUUAUAUUAAAAUUUUA